rnacentral:tRNA from 1 species
GGGAGUGUAGUUCAGUGGUGGAACACCUGCCUGCCAUGCACAAGGCCCUGGACUCAAUCCCAGCACUGCAA